rnacentral:rRNA from 1 species
AAUCAUAUGUGAUUUCUUAGAUCGUACCGUUCCCUCGGGAUCGGGUGGAUAACUGUGGUAAUUCUAGAGCUAAUACAUGCAAUCAAGCUCAAACCUUCGGGGACGAGCGCUCAUAUUAGACCAAGGCCAACCUGCUUCGCUUGCGUUGUCAGUCGCGCUGUGGUGACUCUGGAUAUCCAUCAGUUGAUCGCACGACCUUUGCGUCGGCGACGUAUCUUUCAAGCGUAUGCCCUAUCACCUGUCGACGUUAAGAUAGACGCUUAUCGUGGGUGCAACGGGUAGCGGGGAAUCUGGGUUCGAUUCCGGAGAGGGCGCAUGAGAAAUGGCGACCACAUCCAAGGAAGGCAGCAGGCGCGCAAAUUACCCAAUGCCGACACGGCGAGGUAGUGACGAAAAAUAACAAUACGGGACUCUUUUGAGGCCCCGUAAUUGGAAUGAGCACAAUCUAAAUCCUUUAGCGAGGAUCUAUUGGAGGGCAAGUCUGGUGCCAGCAGCCGCGGUAAUUCCAGCUCCAAUAGCGUAUAUUAAAGUUGCUGCAGUUAAAAAGCUCGUAGUUGGAUCUCGGGUAUCGUCUCGGUGGUCCUGUUCACGCAGGUACUGCCUUGAUGACCUAACCAAUGGUUGUAAGACUCCGAGUGCCCUUCACUGGGUGCUCGUGGGUGGCCAUUGCGUUUACUGUGAAAAAAUUAGAGUGUUCAAAGCAAGCUAUUAAGGCUCGAAUAGUCGUGCAUGGAAUAAUGGAAAAUGACACUGGCGCAUUUCCGUUGGUCUCUGUGACUGGUGUAAUGAUUA